rnacentral:rRNA from 1 species
CCUACGGGUGGCAGCAGUGGGGAAUAUUGGGCAAUGGGCGCAAGCCUGAACCAGCAACGCCGCGUGAAGGAAGAAGGCCCUCGGGUUGUAAACUUCUUUUAUCAAGGACGAAACAAAUGACGGUACUUGCUGAAUAAGCCACGGCUAACUACGUGCCAGAAGCCGCGGUAAUACGUAGGUGGCAAGCGUUAUCCGGAUUUACUGGGUGUAAGGGGCGUGUAGGCGGGACUGUAAGUCAGAUGUGAAAUCCAUGGGCUCAACCCAUGUCCUGCAUUUGAAACUGGAGUUCUUGAGUGUUGGAGAGGUAGGCGGAAUUCGGGGGGUAGCGGUGAAAUGCGUAGAUAUAACGAGGAACACCAGUGGCGAAGGCGGCCUGCUGGACAAUAACUGACGCUGAGGCGCGAAAGCGUGGGGAGCAAACAGGAUUAGAUACCCGAGUAGUC